GAUCAUGGCUCAGGACGAACGCUGGCGGCGUGCCUAACACAUGCAAGUCGAACGGAGAAUUUUAUUUCGGUAGAAUUCUUUAGUGGCGAACGGGUGAGUAACGCGUAGGCAACCUGCCCUUUAGACGGGGACAACAUUCCGAAAGGAGUGCUAAUACCGGAUGUGAUCAUCUUGCCGCAUGGCAGGAUGAAGAAAGAUGGCCUCUACAAGUAAGCUAUCGCUAAAGGAUGGGCCUGCGU
rnacentral:rRNA from 1 species